UCACUCUCAAAUGAAAAGUGUUCAAGUGCAUUCAAAGUGAAGCUGAAAAAAUAACCAGUUAAAAAUAGUACAAAGAAAUUUUCUUUCUUGCAAUUUGCAAGCAGUAGCUACAACCAAAAAUGGAAAAGUGUAAAAAUCGUGUCCCAGCAGACGAGCAGCAGCAGUACGAGUAUUGCAAAAUGCAGGGGCAAGGGCCCACGUAGUAUUUUUCCACGUCGGGCAUUUAAUGCUCUCGAGUUGGAAACAAUGAAACCAUACGCAAACCCCCUGGAAAAGAUGUGAUUAGUCAUCGAUUUUGCUGGUCAGCGUCGGGGAAUUUCGCAAUGCAGCAGGCAGUUUUCUCAAAUUUGGCUAGAAAGUGACCCACUAGGCAGUCUGAGGCAGUUAUCCAGGAUGUAAGGAUGUGUGCAGUACUCUCUGUGUCGAAUGGCGAUGGCCCUGACCUGCGGAUUUUGAAAGAUUGAAAUAGGAAGCCAGGUAUACAUACACAGCAACGAAUGCAGCGUGUUCUAUAUUCUUAAUUCGUAAGCCAAACCUAUGUUUAAGACGUAGUUUAUAUAACCGUACAUAUGUAUGUAGCGAAACACGUUUUCAAACGUCGCAUCGAAGCCAUUUCUUCUGCAGCCAUUGCAAUUUCAUCGUGUUGCGUAAUCGCAAAUUGUAAAUGUGUCCCUACUACUUCACAUUUGUGUGUAUCCAAGUCGAAAGUUCUCGAACUAUUCUCGUGAGCAACCCCCGGAUCGAAAGGCCACCAACUGGCUCGUUCUCUCUCUCCAGAAACAGCUUACUCUUACGUUUACAAUUGACUCUCUACCUAUCGGGUAUACACAUUUUUAUAUAUGUAUACACUCAGAGACACCCCAAUCCCCCACCAUACAUAUGGCGAGAUGUGUGAAUGUAUCGCAGUUGGACGAAAACGGCAGCUGCGCAGAAAACGCUGCGGCGUACAUACAAACGAGCUCUUUGUUUGCCUUUCCCCAGUUUUGCUUCCCCAUACGUAUAACUGGUGUUUAUCAGCGGUAAUCUCGCCAGCCUGACUUUGUCCCUGUCGCUUCUAUUGACAUUCUAAACUAGAUUGUAGACGUUUUAACAUUUACCUAGCUGUUAAUCUUAUUUGUAAACAUCUCUAUAUGCAACCUGCCAUACCACUUAACCAAGCAAUAUGUAUUUCUUUCUCUAAACUUUAUAGUUGGGCGUUGAAAGUUGAUAUCGAUAUCGAUCCGUGAAAAGUCGAUACCCUGCGCAAGCAUGGGGCGGCAUAUGGGUGCUGAAAACGCACUCGGCCCGAUCCCGAUUGCAGCGUUAUUCGAAAGCUGUGUCUGCGACCGUGACUGAGAUCAUAUGCGUACAUAUAUCUAAUGUCCGGGGUCGUAGGCCAGCCAGGGUGCUCGAUUCUGUCAGAUUGAUUGUGCGGAUUGUGUUAUAGGAACACUGGUGUAUCGACUUCUCUGCUCCACUAUGGGUGAAGGAUACCCUACCGAAAAGGCCUUCUGUCGCUUACUAUCAUCGAACAAGUUCCGUAAAGGGCAGACAUACGUACACGUGGCAGCAUAUUACGUUCAAUGACACAUCGUCUCUGGAUUAGUAGUUGAACCAACGAGCUCGAAUAUACCCUGCCAGUUGGUUGUAAAUAUUAAUUUUGUUCUUAUAUUCAGUUGUAAAGUCAAUACGGAAGACAUUUCCACACCAACCAUGUGUCACUUAUGUUCUUAAAUACCAGAAACUGUUUAAAUUUUUGUUCUUAUACACUUCACCAAUUAAGAAUUACCUGUACUGAUGUAAGUGUACCUGUUGAAUCACAACAAAAAUAGAAAAAAUGAAUAACAAAAGAGCUCUAUAACAGAAAAGCCACAGAAAAAGUGAAUAAAAAUUCAAAAAUUCAAAAAAU
rnacentral:lncRNA from 1 species